UCCAUCAUCUAAGUAUCAGCCUUAGCUUUUCAUGCGUAAUGCCUCAUCCUGGUGUAAAGAAAAUCAACUGAGUUGCUGCAAAAAGUUUCUAAAUUUACUCUCCUCCAAACCAACAGUCUUAAAGGCAGUGUUACUUUUUCCAGGACAAUUUCUGGAAGAUCCUAUACUAAAUUCAGAAGGAAUAUAAGAUCAACCAUAAAGCAUCAGAAAAAAAAAAAGUUCUGCUGUUGUGCCCCAGCGUAUCUCCCGUGAACACCCGACUGUUGCUGCUGCAGCUGACACUGUUCACACCUCGGUUAGGAUUUUAAGAAGCAGUGACUACUGAUAAACUACCUGUGGUGUGCAGAGUACCUUUAUGGAGCCACUCUUAAUCAUUUUUCCAUAAAGUGUAGGCACAUACUAAGCCAUGUCCCCAUAUCCUGAUACUGGUUAUGGUUUCCUGCAGCUAGGUGGUAACAGUUGGAGCUGAUAGCUCAAAUGUAAUUGUGGUUGUGGGCCAGCCAGAAUAAAAUUUAUUAUGGUAAUAGCUUCCAUUUCUCCACUUAAUCUUCAACUUUUGGUUAAUGGUUCCUAAAAUUAAUGAUUUUAUUUUAAAAGUUUUACUUAACAGAUUAAUAAAGCUAUAUUGGGAAAAUUA